AAGCCGUAUCGUUGUGAGAAACAUGGAGAGAGUCCAGAAACGUCGCAGGCUUCUUGAUGUUGAUGAAAUUCACCGUAAAGUGGCUUGUCUACCCUUCAAAACAGGAUAUGUACUUAUGCCUUUAUUGCACAGCAUGGAGCGAAAAGACUAAAAAAGGGAUGGCUUGGGUAAGGGCAGUGUGGCAAGAGAAGACAAGGCAAGAGGAAGGGACGGUGCCGGACAGCUGGGUGGACCCAAAGAGCAUGUUAUUGUACUGGCCAAAUGUUGCAAAUGCAACAAGAUAUUUGAAGGAACGACGGCCACCAUCUGAUAGUUGGAGAAAGUUUCCACUUGUGAAAGAGAAGAUGAGAUCUGAUUACUUUAAAGAGUGUGACAACUGUGAACUCACAAGUAGUACAGAAGCUGAAGAAGGUUCACUGGAAGCAAAAAGAAGAAAAAUAUCGAAGAAAUUUGAAGACUGCUUGACAGAUCAUAGUUGUGACACUGAUCCACAAUUCGAAGAAGAAGAUAACCUUGGAAAUCGUCAGCUUCCUAACAGUAAUGAAGCAGAGCUAGAACUUCCUGUUGCUCCAAGGAAGGUGUGCAAGCUCUCCAAUGCAAGCUCUACAUCUUCUGUUUCAUCCAGGGGAUCAAGCUCUGGCUCUCCAUUGCCACUUCAAAAAAAGCAGACUUCAACAUCACAGGCCCCUGUGCAAACUAAGGAGGCCACAUCAAAAAACCAGACCAGACAACAUUCUGAUGGAGAACCGUCUUCACAAGAAAUCAGACAAUCUGGGUCACCUGUUGAUCGACAGUCCAGCAGCUCCAAACAAGAUGAAAAACGCUCCCCAUACCCAAUGCAAGAAGCAAAAUUCCAGAGAAAAGUAAUGGAGAUGCUUGUUGAAAUCCGUGAAGACAUCCGCACAUUAAAGAAAAGUGUGGGGGAUGCAGAAAUGCAUACUGUCUCAAAGAUUCCUGCCCAGUCCUCAACUGUUGAGGAACUUAACAUCCUUGAUAAAUCCCUCAACUGCUUGGAUGAGAAGCUGAGACUGAUUGAUAGCUUGUCCAGUGUUGGAGGGAUGCACCUGAAGGACAAUGUCAAGAGGGUCAUGGAGAAGUUGAUGACAAACGAGGUCAUGGCCCGUUUCAAUAUGAAGGGGGGGAAGGGGAAGCUUGCUUUCACCAAGCUCAAUCUGUACACUGUUGUCACAGAGAGUGUCCAGAAAACAUCUAAAGAGACGGAGGCAAACAUUGCAGCGGCCAUCGCCUUUUGUUUAAAAUAUGCCCCAGACAGGGCGGGUGGAGGUGGCAGGAAAAAAAGCUGUGAAUAAAACUGAUGUUAAUAUGUUUUGAAAAAUAAUCAGUUCCAAUAAGGUUGGUGUUAAAAUUAAAUUAUUUUGAAAAUGUUCUGUUCCAAUAAUGUUAAUAAUAAAACAAAUAAAUAAAUCA
ensembl:lncRNA